AAUAGAUACCCUGGUAGUCCACGCCGUAAACGAUGUCGACUUGGAGGUUGUGCCCUUGAGGCGUGGCUUCCGGAGCUAACGCGUUAAGUCGACCGCCUGGGGAGUACGGCCGCAAGGUUAAAACUCAAAUGAAUUGACGGGGGCCCGCACAAGCGGUGGAGCAUGUGGUUUAAUUCGAUGCAACGCGAAGAACCUUACCUACUCUUGACAUCCAGAGAACUUAGCAGAGAUGCUUUGGUGCCUUCGGGAACUCUGAGACAGGUGCUGCAUGGCUGUCGUCAGCUCGUGUUGUGAAAUGUUGGGUUAAGUCCCGCAACGAGCGCAACCCUUAUCCUUUGUUGCCAGCGGUCCGGCCGGGAACUCAAAGGAGACUGCCAGUGAUAAACUGGAGGAAGGUGGGGAUGACGUCAAGUCAUCAUGGCCCUUACGAGUAGGGCUACACACGUGCUACAAUGGCAUAUACAAAGAGAAGCGACCUCGCGAGAGCAAGCGGACCUCAUAAAGUAUGUCGUAGUCCGGA
rnacentral:rRNA from 1 species